CCCGCUCAGAAACUCAAAGGAAUUGACGGGGGCCCGCACAAGCGGUGGAGCAUGUGGUUUAAUUCGAUGAUACGCGAGGAACCUUACCUGGGCUCAAAUGUAUGUUGACGUAUUCUGAAAGGGAUACUUCUUCGGACAAUAUACAAGGUGCUGCAUGGUUGUCGUCAGCUCGUGCCGUGAGGUGUCGGGUUAAGUCCCAUAACGAGCGCAACCCCUAUCAUUAGUUGCCAUCAGGUCAAGCUGGGGACUCUAAUGAAACUGCCUACGCAAGUAGUGAGGAAGGUGGGGAUGACGUCAAAUCAGCACGGCCCUUACGGCCUGGGCUACACACGUGCUACAAUGGCCGAUACAAAGGGCAGCGACACUGCGAGGUGAAGCCAAUCCCGUAAAAUCGGUCUCAGUCCGGAUUGGAGUCUGCAACUCGACUCCAUGAAGUUGGAAUCGCUAGUAAUCGUGGAUCAGCAUGCCACGGUGAAUACGUUCCCGGGCCUU
rnacentral:rRNA from 1 species